AACGAACGUUGGCGGCGUGGAUUAGGCAUGCAAGUCGCGCGAGAACGUCACCUUCGGGUGGCUAGUACAGCGGCGAACGGGUGAGUAACACGUGGGAAAUCUGCCCUCGAGUUGGGAAUAACACUCCUAACGGAGUGCUAAUACCGAAUAACACGACCUGGCCGCAUGACCGGGUCGUCAAAGCUGGCCUCUGCUUGCAAGCUGGCGCUUGAGGAUGAUCCCGCGCCCCAUUAGCUAGUUGGUGAGGUAACGGCCCACCAAGGCUGCGAUGGGUAGCUGGUCUGAGAGGAUGGUCAGCCACACUGGGACUGAGACACGGCCCAGACUCCUACGGGUGGCAG
rnacentral:rRNA from 1 species